rnacentral:rRNA from 1 species
CCUACGGGAGGCAGCAGUGGGGAAUAUUGGGCAAUGGGCGAAAGCCUGACCCAGCAACGCCGCGUGAAGGAAGAAGGCUUUCGGGUUGUAAACUUCUUUUGACAGGGAAGAGCAGAAGACGGUACCUGUCGAAUAAGCCACGGCUAACUACGUGCCAGCAGCCGCGGUAAUACGGAGGUGGCAAGCGUUGUCCGGAUUUACUGGGGGUAAAGGGCGUGUAGCCGGGCUGACAAGUCAGAUGUGAAAUCCGGGGGCUCAACCCCCGAACUGCAUUUGAAACUGUUGGUCUUGAGUAUCGGAGAGGCAGGCGGAAUUCCGAGUGUAGCGGUGAAAUGCGUAGAUAUUAGGAGGAACACCAGUGGCGAAGGCGGCCUGCUGGACGACAACUGACGGUGAGGCGCGAAAGCGUGGGGAGCAAACAGGAUUAGAUACCCUAGUAGUC